rnacentral:rRNA from 1 species
CCUACGGGGGACAGCAGUGAGGAAUAUUGGUCAAUGGACGCAAGUCUGAACCAGCCAUGCCGCGUGCAGGAAGACGGCUCUAUGAGUUGUAAACUGCUUUUGUACGAGGGUAAACGCAGAUACGCGUAUCUGUCUGAAAGUAUCGUACGAAUAAGGAUCGGCUAACUCCGUGCCAGCAGCCGCGGUAAUACGGAGGAUUCAAGCGUUAUCCGGAUUUAUUGGGUUUAAAGGGUGCGUAGGCGGUCGGAUAAGUUAGAGGUGAAAUCCCGAGGCUCAACUUCGGAAUUGCCUCUGAUACUGUUAGGCUAGAGAGUAGUUGCGGUAGGCGGAAUGUAUGGUGUAGCGGUGAAAUGCUUAGAGAUCAUACAGAACACCGAUUGCGAAGGCAGCUUACCAAGCUACGUCUGACGUUGAGGCACGAAAGCGUGGGGAGCAAACAGGAUUAGAUACCCCUGUAGUC